rnacentral:tRNA from 1 species
GCUGUCAUAGCUCAUCGCUGGAAGAGCGCGGUCUUGGUAGGGCCGAGGCGCACGGUUCGAGCCCGGGUGACAGCACCA